rnacentral:rRNA from 1 species
UACGGGGGGACAAGCGUUGUUCGGAAUUACUGGGCGUAAAGGGCUCGUAGGCGGCCAACUAAGUCGGAUGUGAAAUCCCCAGGCUUAACCUGGGAACUGCAUCCGAUACUGGAUGGCUUGAAUCCGGGAGAGGGAUGCAGAAUUCCAGGUGUAGCGGUGAAAUGCGUAGAUAUCUGGAGGAAUACCGGUGGCGAAGGCGGCAUCCUGGACCGGCAUUGACGCUGAGGUGCGAAAGCGUGGGGAGCAAACAGG